GAUGGGAGCUUGCUCCCUGAUGUUAGCGGCGGACGGGUGAGUAACACGUGGGCAACCUGCCUGUAAGACUGGGAUAACUCCGGGAAACCGGGGCUAAUACCGGAUAACCCGUUCCACCUCAUGGUGGAGCGGUAAAAGAUGGCCUCUGGCUAUCACUUACAGAUGGGCCCGCGGCGCAUUAGCUAGUUGGUAAGGUAACGGCUUACCAAGGCGACGAUGCGUAGCCGACCUGAGAGGGUGAUCGGCCACACUGGGACUGAGACACGGCCCAGACUCCUACGGGAGGCAGCAGUAGGGAAUCUUCCGCAAUGGACGAAAGUCUGACGGAGCAACGCCGCGUGAGUGAUGAAGGUUUUCGGAUCGUAAAGCUCUGUUGUUAGGGAAGAACAAGUGCCGUUUGAAUAAGGCGGCACCUUGACGGUACCUAACCAGAAAGCCACGGCUAACUACGUGCCAGCAGCCGCGGUAAUACGUAGGUGGCAAGCGUUGUCCGGAAUUAUUGGGCGUAAAGCGCGCGCAGGCGGUCUCUUAAGUCUGAUGUGAAAGCCCACGGCUCAACCGUGGAGGGUCAUUGGAAACUGGGAGACUUGAGUACAGAAGAGGAGAGUGGAAUUCCACGUGUAGCGGUGAAAUGCGUAGAUAUGUGGAGGAACACCAGUGGCGAAGGCGACUCUCUGGUCUGUAACUGACGCUGAGGCGCGAAAGCGUGGGGAGCAAACAGGAUUAGAUACCCUGGUAGUCCACGCCGUAAACGAUGAGUGCUAGGUGUUAGGGGUUUCGAUGCCCUUAGUGCCGAAGUUAACACAUUAAGCACUCCGCCUGGGGAGUACGAC
rnacentral:rRNA from 1 species